rnacentral:rRNA from 1 species
CUUGAAACACGGACCAAGGAGUUUAUCGUGUACGCAAGUCAUUGGGUGAAUAAAACCCAAAGGCGAAAUGAAAGUAAAGAGUUUAGUUAAUAAUAAUUUUUUAUUAUUGCUGUCUUAAGGGAAGAUGAAAAUUUAAGUAUUAAUAUAUUUAUAUAAUGGUACUAUAAAUUUUUCGCACUCCCGGGGCGCUUGUUUCACGCUUUGCGUGUCAAUGCGCACCUAGAGCGUACACGCUGAUACCCGAAAGAUGGUGAACUAUGCCUGGCCAGGACGAAGCCAGGGGAAACCCUGGUGGAGGUCCGCAGCGAUUCUGACGUGCAAAUCGAUCGUCGGAGCUGGGUAUAGGGGCGAAAGACCAAUCGAACCAUCUAGUAGCUGGUUCCCUCUGAAGUUUCCCUCAGGAUA